UUUCAGAUUUGACAUUUUUAUAUCCAUAGUGGGAUAUUGGGGGGUGAACACAAGAUUCAUGUACAUUUCACUUGUGCCAUUUAUACAAAGCUAAAGGAUGCUUCUUGCAGUGUCUCCAGGGCACCUGUGUCCUAACCCGUCAGCAGCAGCAAAAGCAGGUGUGGGACUCUCUACUGGCGCAUCAAGUCAGCAACCAAACUGCUCUGGAUUUGGAAGCACUUCAGAUGUUCAGUUUUAAGAUUAUUCACAUUUCUGGAAACUGGCUUUCUGAGACAGUAUCAAGAAUAACUUCAAGUCUACAGUCUCCACUGUGGAAGUCACUCACUUAGUAGGCAGUGACUGAAAGUCUAUUCUGUGCCAACAGUGAUGCUGCUGCUUUGUAAUCAUCCCCAUUGCAGGACAUAUACGCACAGCAAAGGACUGGAAGAAUCAGGAAGCACAGAGGUAAAGCAUCCAAAGACACCACACAUUGCGUUCCCACCCUCAGCCCUAACAGUUCCUCCGUCCACGACAAAUAAGCAGUGCCUGUCCAAACAGCUCUUAGACACUCACAGGGAACUGGGACUGCUCUCUUGCCUCUUCUGUAAAUGGAAAGCAUCACUCUCCGUGACUACGACACCUUUUAUGAGCAAUAAAGUCACUUAAUAGAAUACUGAAA